CCUAGGACUUGUCACCCCACCUCCCACUCCAUCCUCAAUCUUCUCAGAAGCCAACAGGACACACAGCUCCCAGAUCCCUCCUCUCUGGUGCAGGAGGCUGGCUUCUUCCAGAGAGAGAAGCAGCCGAGCUUCCAUCUGCAGGGUGGGAGGUACCUGGCCGGAGAAGGUUGUAAGGCCUUUCCUUCCUCUCUGGAUAUUUUCAAUGAGAAGAACAAUGAAAAAGAUGCUUUAUGGGGGAAGUUCUGGAGAUGGAAGACUGCAGUUGCCCUUCUGAAGCCCAGCAGCCUUGGGGCUUCUGGGCUGCUGGCUUUACUAGAUUGCAUUUCUUUUCUUCCCAUCUGCUUAUAAAGUCAGCAUUUACUGAGACUCCUUCACUUCCAAACUGCUAGAACAUCCCGAGACCCACUCAUUUGUCUUCCAGGACACCUCUUGUGGGCAGAUGGAAAGAGUGCAGAGAAGAGGUACCGGGCUCAAAACAAACUCCAAGAAGCAGGAUCUCCAUGAAGAUAGGCACAGAAUGCCGCAGAAGGGAACAGAUCAGAUCAUUCUGGCAGAGACCUGCAAAGAAAGGCUCUUGGAAGAAACAGGGUCUGGCUGCCUCCAGAAGGAUGAGGAGGUGUAUGAAAAGUAUCAAAUCCAGUAAAGAUUGGUGUGGCCUUGACAGAUGUCCUGUGCACCCCGGACCAGCAGGCAGCACGACCACCUCAAUAAGCAGAUAAGGACACUGAGGCCCUAAGAAGGUUGCUCCAUCUCAGGAGAUGGCACCUCCAUUCAGAGGACCCCAGAGUUGUCUGAUUCCUCUCAUGCUCUCCUCUUCAACAACCAGGCCAGCUACAAGUUCUACAUGGAAGUUAUAUUCUGGCCAUCUGAUGCUCCCAGUUCCCAAUGCCAUUCCUGGUGGUGGACACUGCUGUGCUGGCAUUUUCAUACAUACCUGCUCCCAACCCCACAUGCUGGGUCCUUCUCCAGACUCCCUCUUAGAUAAGGAACUUCCAUACCUGGGGUUCUGCCCCAUCCCACACCUGCUCCCCAUAUCCAGUGACUGAUGGAACUGUAGGAUGGAAGCUGGGUCUUGUCUCCUGAUGUGGAACAUCUCUCAGCAGCUCUCCCAGCUGUGGGGCUUCCCUGGGGGGUGGGCUGAGGGCUCUUUUGCAAAGUGGUCACACUUUACUCUUUCUGCCCAAUCUUGUGCUCCUUACUUCCUAUAGGCAUUGCCCUGGAGGGUACUCUCCAGUAAAUUAUUUGCACAAAAGUCAUAGAAGUUCAGAGCCCAUCUCUUGGGACUCCUGACCUACAUCCCUAAUCAAAGCCACCUUGAUUUCUCCCUCACACCACUACAAUGGCUGUCCAACCAGUCUCCCUGAUUUGCCUUUGCAAAAUUAUCUAUUCUCUGUCUAGCAGCCAGAGUGAGCCUCAUAAAACAAAAAUCAGAUCAAUGACUUCUCUGCUUUAACCCUCUACUGCUUUACUGUUGAUCUUGGAAUAAAAUCUAUACUCCCCAGCACAGUCUGCAGUCCCUGCAUGGUCUGCUCCAGCUAUGUCUCUGACCUUGUAUCUUCCUACUUGUCUGCUUCAUCAAAUCUGCUCCAGCCACACUCAGAAUUUUUUCACUUGAUAGCCUUUGCAUUGGCUGCUCCCUGGUCAUUGUAAUGACCAUUCCCAGAUCUUUCCAUGGCUGGGACUCCAGCUCAAAAGCCACCUCUCUAGAGAAAGCCUUCUCCAACCUCCUGGCCCAGUUCAACACCUUUGUGUAGCAUUUCCUGUCACUUCAUUCUGCCUUAUUAUCUUUAAAAUAUGGGUCAUUUUGAAAUCUCA